rnacentral:rRNA from 1 species
UACGGGGGGGGCAAGCGUUGUUCGGAAUUACUGGGCGUAAAGGGCUCGUAGGCGGCCACCUUAGUCGGUUGUGAAAUCCCUCGGCUUAACCGGGGAACUGCGUCCGAUACUGGGUGGCUUGAAGCUGGGAGAGGGAUGCGGAAUUCCAGGUGUAGCGGUGAAAUGCGUAGAUAUCUGGAGGAACACCGGUGGCGAAGGCGGCAUCCUGGACCAGCCUUGACGCUGAGGAGCGAAAGCCAGGGGAGCAAACGGG